UACAGAGGUCUCAAGCGUUGUUCGGAUUCAUUGGGCGUAAAGGGUGCGUAGGUGGCUUCGUAAGUCCGUUGUGAAAGUCAAAGGCUCAACCUUUGAAUGCCGAUGGAUACUGCGAAGCUAGAGUACGGAAGAGGCGAGUGGAAUUCCUGGUGUAGCGGUGGAAUGCGCAGAUAUCAGGAGGAACACCAAUAGCGAAGGCAGCUCGCUGGGACGUUACUGACACUAAGGCGCGAAAGCGUGGGGAGCGAACAGG
rnacentral:rRNA from 1 species